UCGAAGUCGCUCCUUGCUCGUGCCUCUUUUGCACCAGUGAUCACUCCGCACUUCAUCCCUGGUCAUCACAGAAUCGGAACCGGAAGUACCAGUGCAAAAAUUCAUAGCGACCACUGACCAUGUCAAUGCUUGGAUUAAUUAAUAUAGAGGUGCGGAAUCGGAUCCGGAAGUCUUAAUUGUUAUUAUUACAUGUGUUCAUGAAUUUAUUGAUAUGCAUGCAUACAGUAAUAACUCUUCAUAGUGACCACUUACCAUGUCAAUGCUUGGAUUAAUUAAUAUAGAGGUGUAUUAUUGUAUUAUUCGACAUUUAAAUUUGAUUUCUUUAAUAAAAUAACAAUGUCAAUAAUUCACAACAUGAAAAAUGAAAAGUUACCUCCUACAAAAAAAAAAAGAAAAAAGAAAAAUGAAAAGUUACUAUAUUUUGUAGACAUUUUAAAAUAAAAAAUAAAUUGUUUUUUUGUAAACAGACGAAAUAUUACUCAAAACAUGAAUGUAACAAUGAUUUUUAGUCUUUCAAUUAUUAAGAUUUAUAGUCUGCAACACAUCGAUUCAAAUUCUGUGACAUCCCGUCCUUUUCAUAGGAAAUAUUGAAGACCUUUAAAAUUAGAAUAAUAUUGAUACACGUCCGGUAUUUAAUAAAUUAUAUUAUUUUAAAGAGAUUUUAUAAAUUGAAGUUCGUUACUAUUAUUUUAUUGAUCAAAUGCCUUAAGCCCGUUAUUAAGGUAUAUGAAAAAUAUUUUCACAAGUAUUAAUUUAUUUAUUUUUUUCCAUUCUAUUUAGUUAUUUAUCUAUUUAUUUUUAUUGGGCCUCAAGCCUAGCAAUAAUUAUUUGUGAGUUAUUAAAAUUUUCUUGGGCCUCCAGCCCAAAAUUUGUGAGAUCAAUACUGGCCCAAAAUUUGGAGAUGAGUGGGAGAAAUUGAAACAUGCGUGUGUGCGUGUGAGUGUGAGAAACUGAAAUAUUUUCCUUCCUCUCCAAGUCUAACUGUGUUUGAUAUUUUCACAAAUUUGAUAUUCUAUUCCCAAAAGCAAAAGCUUUGGCUUUGUUACAACCACAUCAAUGGUUCCACCUUCAUAAAUUACCCCAACUUUUCUUACACUAUUCCACCGGCUGCAGUAGGAAGCAAUCAACAUAGUAACUCUUUCUAUUUCUGAGUCAAGUAUCAUUACGUUUCAUCAUGUUUAUUUCUUCACUUUCCUAAAAUGGUGGACUGAAUCCAGCAAAAUUGCUCUCGGCUCGAUUCCUUUCACACAAAACUCAAUAUGCUCUUUUCAUAGCAGAACUCCAGCUGGUAACCCCAAUUAUCUCUGUAAAUCUAUGUAUUUUCAUUUUAAUACAGCAACUAUUUUCUUCUAUUUGUUUCUUAUUUUUUUACUUAUACGGAAACAUCACCAACAGAAUUAUAACAAAUACGAAAUCCAAAUACCCAACUGUUUCUAUUAAAGAAAUACCUUGACCAAUGCUAUGCACCAAAAAUCAAAUCUUUACAUCUGAAUUCCUUUCCUUUUGUUCCUCCGGUGAGUGAGAGUCGAGGAUUCGAUGAGAGGGAGGAGUGGGACUGUCCGAGCUCGACGCCGGGCUGUCAAGGCCACGGCUGCCGGCGCUGCAUGCGUGGCAGCAGCCCGCCGGCCGCUCGCGGCCAAGGCAGACGGAGUCGGGGCACGGCAGUGAGGCUGGUGGCUGGCAAGAGGGAGGUGGUGAGCAGAGGGUAAGGUGAGAAAGAGGAGGCGAUGAGUGAGGGAGGCGUCGGAGCCGGCGAUUCUCGCCGAGGUUAGAGCAGGCGGCGGCGGAAGAUCUUGGAGGGAGAAGAGGCGGUGGUUCUGGGAGAGAGAAAAAGCGAAUUAUAGAGACAGAUGGGAGGAGGAGAGAGAGGUGGUUCCCGGCGACGAAUCGCCGCGAAGAGGGGCGGCGGCGUGGCUUCAUGUGGGAGAGAGAGAGGGCGGCGGAUAGAUGGGUGUGAGGAUAGAGAGAGAAAGAGAACCGAUAGUGAGGAGAGAGAGAGUGAAUAUUUGGCUUUUCAUUUCAGAUUUUUAUGUGUCUUGUAAGUUUUGUUCAAAAGCUGAUGGAUUUUCUUUAAUGGGCCGAUUUCUAUUAUCAGUUGGGCCGUUUCUUUUCUUUUAUUUGAUGGUCUGUGUUUUCAUUACUUGGGCCCUUUCAAUUUGAGCAAGCCUCUUAUAUUAUAUUUCUUUGGGCUCUAUUUAUUUAUUUAAUUGGGCCUGCAAGUGUUUUCACUAAUUUUAUCAAUUUUCUAUAAGAUUUAGUUUUUAUAUAUUUAAGUAUAUUAUUAAUUAUUGAUUACUUUUACUAAGCUAUCAUUUAUUUUUGAAACUAGUAUCCUCAAUAAAUUACCAAUGUUUAUUCCUAUAAUCUGGGCUAAGUGUAUCAAUAGUUAGCAAUUCUCCUUUAUAUUUAGAAGUUAGAACAGCACCUCGAGACCUAUUAAAGAAUAGAUUUCUUGUAGGUUCGAAUAAUCAAGGGCAGUAGAGAAGUUCAAGCAAGCACUGAAUCUCCACUAUUGAAAGUGGGCUAUAUUUUGGUAAAAUGUAUCUUGAGUUAUAUAAACUCUGAUAUUUCAUGAAAGUUAAUUGUGUAUCCAAUAUAAAUGUUUUUAUGUGCGUUCUGUAAUUGUUUAAUGCUCGCAUAAGCAUCGAUCGAGAUUCUCAUUUGACCUAACACAUUAGAUGAGGAUUGUGUACACAAGGUUAGUGGCUCAAUGGGUUGAUCGCCAUUGGGAACUAACAAAGCUAAGCAGGCGUUAUAAGGGUGCUCCUGGACACGUUCCAAAGCACAAAUGGAUGAUGUGUUCCGUCUGGGUAGCGUCCCAGGUUCACUUAAGCGGCAGUAAGUGAUCCGACGGUGGUUAAAGGCCCGGGAUCAUAAGCAGCGAGUAACAAUCGAACGUUACAUGGGGCCCUCAACGUGAAAAAUGUUUUGUCAUGCUUAGAAGUGGAUUUAUAUUUUCAAAACCUUCUGAGUUAUGAUUAUGAUAUUGGAUAAACUGCUCUAUUUAAUUAUUUCAUAAAAUAUCUUGUAAACUCUUGUUCACUGAGUACAUUAGUACUCAGUCCAAAUUAUUUUCAAAUAUUUUCAGGUUGAUCGGUUGAUGCAGACGGGGCUGAGCUGAGGCUAGAUACCACGAUGUCUUUUGCUUCCGCUAAUGACUAGCUUGUCAUCUCAUCUUUUAAAUUUUCCUAAAUUGAGAAUUUCCAUUAUGUAGUACUAUAUUAUCUCGUUGGGCUUAGACUCUUAACCCAUAUUUCUAUUAAUGAAGCUAUCAUUGAUUAUGAUCAGAGUCACGAAACUAAACUUAUGCGAUCCUGAGUGCGAUUAUUGUCAUUGGACUGGCAUCUCUUAAUGCCUUUCAUUUUAACUCCUUUCAAUUUAUCUCUUUGGAUUAUGAAUACCCAAUUUGACGGGUAGAUUGUCAAGUUUAUUCCGCUCAUUUGAGUCUUAUCAUUAUUUUCCUAUUUCUUUUUAUCUUGGAGAAGUCGGGUCGUUACAAAUUCAUCAUUGUCAGAAAUUAUUUUUCUCUCAUUUUUUUGGGUGCAAUUAAUGUCACGAGGAAUAAAGUAAUUUUAUAUGUUUAAUGCAUGAUAA
rnacentral:lncRNA from 1 species